rnacentral:misc_RNA from 1 species
CUGUUGAUAGUUAGCACUCAGACAUCCUCAACACUAUUUUCAGAAACUUAUGCAUGCCUGCUCUCUUUAAGUCCUAAGCAUGGAUCCUCUUGAAACCAAAGAGCUUGUUGAGAAGAAAGGUCUCAAUGAUCCCUCCUUACAGUCUUUACCCAUCUCACAACAAAAUGGACAUCACCCAUUGGAUCAAACAGCAACAAGAAGCAAUAGUCCUUUGUCGAUCUUCCUGGAGCCAUUUCAAUGGCUACAAAUGCUCUCUUCCCAGCUAAACCCAACCUUCAUUUUUGGAGUAGUUCUCGUUUACGGCCUAAGCCAAGGCUUCUCUGGAUCUUUCUUCAAAGUGGUCACUGAUUAUUAUUGGAAAGACAUCCAAAAAGUCCAGCCAUCCGUGGUGCAACUUUAUAUAGGCUUAUACUAUAUCCCAUGGAUCAUGAAACCAAUUUGGGGUCUCUUCACUGAUGUUUUUCCUAUUGCGGGCUACAAAAGAAGGCCGUAUUUUGCGGUGGCUGGGAUUCUUGGAUGUGUCUCGGCAUUGACGGUUGCUCUCCUAGGGAAGUUGCCGGCUGCAGUGGCGUUGAGUUGCUUGAUAGGUGUGACUGCCGGGGUUGCUAUAGCAGAUGUGACCAUUGAUGCUUGUAUUGCUAGAAAUAGCAUUGAAAUGAGGUCCUUGGCUCCAGAUAUGCAAAGCCUUUGUGGGUUUUGUUCCUCUGUUGGUGCUUUGGUCGGGUACUUGUCCAGUGGCUUUUUCGUUCAUCAUCUUGGACCUCAGAAAGCGUUGGUUCUCUUGGCAAUCCCACCGGCGUUGUUGAUAUUGCUGGGCUUUGUAAUUUAUGAAGUGAGAUCUACCAGCGUCCGAUCUGAGAAGAAGAAGGCAGUGGAAGAUUUAGGAGUAGCAGUGAAGGUCAUGUACAAAACAAUGAAGUUCACUCAAGUUUGGAAGCCAUCUCUGUACAUGUAUCUAUCUUUAGCUCUCAGUAUCAGCACCCAUGAAGGCCAGUUCUACUGGUACACAGAUCCUAAAGCUGGUCCUGCAUUCUCACAGGAGUUUGUUGGGAUAAUCUAUGCAAUUGGUGCCAUGGCUUCCAUAGUAGGAGUUGUAAUAUAUCAGAAGGCUCUGAAAAACUACCCAUUUAGAAACCUACUCUUUUUUGCCCAACUUCUAUACGGGCUAUCAGGAAUGCUGGAUAUCAUCUUCAUCCUGAGAUGGAAUUUAGUCCUUGGAAUUCCAGAUUCAUUCUUUGUUAUUUCUGAAGAAUGUGUGUCUCGAAUCGUAAGCAGAAUAAGGUGGAUGCCAAUGAUCGUAUUAAGCACUCGGCUAUGCCCUCUAGGCAUUGAAGGGACUUUUUUUGCACUGCUGAUGUGCAUUGAUAGCCUUGGAACCUUGUCUUCCAAAUGGGGUGGAGGAAUUAUUCUUCAUUUGUUGCAUGUUACAAGGACUGAUUUCAGAAACUUGUGGUUGGUCAUCCUUAUAAGAAAUGUUUUGAGGCUUGGAACUCUAUGUUUGAUUUUUCUUAUCCCUAAGGCUGAUCAAACGGAUGAUUUGAUUCCAGCUGAUAUUUUGGCUGCAACUACUUCAGAUGAUGAUGAUGGCUUACAGCUUGUCCCUGUGAAUGAGAGGAAUGAUAAUGAACAAAUAUAGUUGAUUAUUAUCUUUACAAGCUACUAACACUAACACAGCAUUAUAUAUCA